rnacentral:rRNA from 1 species
CCUACGGGAGGCAGCAGUCGAGAAUCAUUCACAAUGGGGGAAACCCUGAUGGUGCGACGCCGCGUGGGGGAAUGAAGGUCUUCGGAUUGUAAACCCCUGUCAUGUGGGAGCAAAUUAAAAAGAUAGUACCACAAGAGGAAGAGACGGCUAACUCUGUGCCAGCAGCCGCGGUAAUACAGAGGUCUCAAGCGUUGUUCGGAAUCACUGGGCGUAAGGCGUGCGUAGGCUGUUUCGUAAGUCGUGUGUGAAAGGCGCGGGCUCAACCCGCGGACGGCACAUGAUACUGCGAGACUAGAGUAAUGGAGGGGGAACCGGAAUUCUCGGUGUAGCAGUGAAAUGCGUAGAUAUCGAGAGGAACACUCGUGGCGAAGGCGGGUUCCUGGACAUUAACUGACGCUGAGACACGAAGGCCAGGGGAGCGAAAGGGAUUAGAUACCCGAGUAGUC